rnacentral:rRNA from 1 species
AACGAACGCUGGCGGCAUGCCUAACACAUGCAAGUCGAACGAUGCCUUCGGGUCUUGUUUCUCACGAUGGCGUGCCACGGGGUAACUUGCCCGUAGGUAACCUAUCACUCCCCGAAGGGGGAGCUAUUACAGGGUAAUCUCUUCCGACCAAAGAUUUAUCGGCUUUGGAUGGGCCCGCGUUAGAUUAGCUAGUUGGUAGAGUAAAAGCCUACCAAGGCGACGAUCCAUAGCUGGGCUGAGAGGAUGAUCAGCCACACUGGGACUGGGACACGGACCAGACUCCUACGGGAGGCAGCAGGGGGGAAUAUUGGACGAUGGGCGAAAGACUGAUGCAGCAAGGCCGCGAGAGUGAUGAAGGCCUUAGGGUUGUAAAGCUCUGUUGAACGGGAUGAUAAUGACAGUACCGGGAGAAUAAGCGACGGCUAACUCCGUG